GCCGAAGUGGUGAAACUGGUAUACACGCUUGCCUUAGGAGCACGUGCCUUCGGGCGUGCGGGUUCGAGUCCCGCCUUCGGCACCA
rnacentral:tRNA from 1 species